GUUUCAGUUGCAGCUUCCAAAUUCAUAAUAUUAUUUAUGGCUGGACAACACAUGAGUUUUGUUGAUUCCAGUACACACUCAGAUUCACUGUCGACUUUAAUAGUGUGCUUACAGUUUUGCCCUUUUACCUGUCUGAAAUCUCCCUCUGAUUUAGGGGCGCUGUGAAACUUGAAAGAGGAUCGGAGGGAAAAGAGAGAGGAAAGGCAUCAGCUAUUUUGGUCCCUUUUGCCAUACUAGAGGCAAGCAAUACAGGGAGGGAAGCAGCGGGCACCUGGAUUAAAGCAAUCUUGAUCCAGGAAUUUGAUUUCUUCUUGAAAGAAGAAAAAAGGAACGAUCUAGAGCCAGAAACCAGUCACGUCCUCCUAUAAAAUCAGCCCUCGAUGAAACCCCAACAACACCCAGCUAGAACCAAGUCCUCCUCUGCUAAGGGCUAACCCGAUACCCUCCAAUUCGGGUCAAGGUCUGCUGAGGUUGUUGUCAUCUAAUUUUGCCUAAUCCAAAUGCUAAGAAAAAGAAAUCAGUAAGCUCAUUGUUUGAGUUUGGUUAGGCAUUUUCAGGUUGUUCAAGUUUGCUGCAGGUUACAGAACAUAUUCCAUGGAAAUGCUAUCACCUUUGGAUUAGGCAAAAAAUAUAGGAUUGACCAUUAAGAA